GACGAACGCUGGCGGCGUGCCUAACACAUGCAAGUCGAACGGAACUGUUUUGAAAGCUUUCUUCGGAAUGAAUUUGAUUUAGUUUAGUGGCGGACGGGUGAGUAACGCGUGAGUAACCUGCCUUCAAGAGGGGAAUAACAUUCUGAAAAGAAUGCUAAUACCGCAUGACAUAUCGGAACCACAUGGUUUUGAUAUCAAAGAUUUUAUCGCUUGAAGAUGGACUCGCGUCCGAUUAGUUAGUUGGUGAGGUAACGGCUCACCAAGACCGCGAUCGGUAGCCGGACUGAGAGGUUGAACGGCCACAUUGGGACUGAGACACGGCCCAGACUCCUACGGGAGGCAGCAGUGGGGGAUAUUGCGCAAUGGGGGCAACCCUGACGCAGCAACGCCGCGUGAAGGAUGAAGGUUUUCGGAUUGUAAACUUCUUUUAUUAAGGACGAAAAAUGACGGUACUUAAUGAAUAAGCUCCGGCUAACUACG
rnacentral:rRNA from 1 species